UCAGCCCAGGCAUUUGGGUGCGGCCAUCCAAGGUAAGACCUCCCAUAGGGGGGCGCCGCACCCACCUCCCGAAAAGGGGGUGUGCCUGGGAGGAGGA
rnacentral:ncRNA from 1 species